AACGAACGCUGGCGGCAUGCCUUACACAUGCAAGUCGAACGGCAGCAUGGAGAGCUUGCUCUCUGAUGGCGAGUGGCGAACGGGUGAGUAAUGCAUCGGAACGUACCGUGUAAUGGGGGAUAACGUAGCGAAAGUCACGCUAAUACCGCAUACGACCUGAGGGUGAAAGCAGGGGAUCGCAAGACCUUGCGUUAUACGAGCGGCCGAUGUCAGAUUAGCUAGUUGGUGAGGUAAAGGCUCACCAAGGCGACGAUCUGUAGCGGGUCUGAGAGGAUGAUCCGCCACACUGGGACUGAGACACGGCCCAGACUCCUACGGGAGGCAGCAGUGGGGAAUUUUGGACAAUGGGGGCAACCCUGAUCCAGCCAUGCCGCGUGAGUGAAGAAGGCCUUCGGGUUGUAAAGCUCUUUCGGCCGGGAAGAAAUCGCACGGGCUAAUACUCUGUGUGGAUGACGGUACCGGCAUAAGAAGCACCGGCUAACUACGUGCCAGCAGCCGCAGUAA
rnacentral:rRNA from 1 species